AAGAGGCGAAGCCAGAGGGAAAAAAAUCUGUCUCCAGCAGGCGAUGUUUCGUUUGUUUUGCAUGGAGGUCAAUGAGAGAGUGGAAUUUGGUCAACAAAAAAGUCCAUGCACCUGUUUUGCUUGGUCUUUCCCCUUGAAGUCAGUCAGUGUCUUCACUGGCACGUUGUGCCACUGUCAGGAUCUCUCAGGCCCUGGUGACCACAGCCAACCAAUGGACACUCCCUGGCCUGGCAACCAGCUGUCUGUCAAGAAAAGGGCACGUGACACCACUGGAAGUCUCCAGCCAAUGGAAUCGUACAGAUUUUGCACAAAGCCAAAAAGGUGUGACAAGCACUAAUGCGUUUGGUGUUCAGAAAACCCCAUUACCUUUUUGACUUUAUUAAAAACUUGUAAUGCUGUACAAUAGUAUCUCAGGAGCUGUCCAAUAGGCGCAGAUGGAAUAAUUAUGGACUGACUGUUGUCUGACAGAUGUUUUUGAGAUUAUUUCUUUCUGAAAAUGUUGACUGGAUAAAUAAAUAUCUGGAAACCUGA